rnacentral:rRNA from 1 species
AUGGAUCAGGAGCUAAUCAAGCACCUUAAGGCUAAAAUGAGUGCUGACAGCGCGGGAUCUCACCCUCCCAUCGAUUUGUUCAUACCAACCAUUAACAACGAGCACGGCAUAUGCUACACCCAUCCUGAGAAACUUCCAGGUACCACACUGAGUGGCCUAAGCAAGCAUUUGUUCCAGCGCAAUUCCAGGGCAUACAAAAGGGGCACGUGGACGCGUUGCAAGAUACAGUCGGAGUGUGGCAUGCACGCAAUGUGGCACAACACCAGCAAUACCUUGCCGAGGACCAACUGGGUGAUGCACCUGUACCAACUCGGGGACCUGGAGCAAGAGAAGGAGCAGGAGCUGGUCCUCUGCAAGAUUUUCCACCAGACGAACACUAGGGCCAGGAGUAAAAAAGAUUAUAAGUUAGUUUGGUAUUGGUUCUUGUACUACCUUAUUUUCCGCAAGUUGGUAUUGUUGUUAAUGAUCUUUUGGUCGAGCAAGUUUCAACUGGGUUGUAGACUGCCCAGGCUUGGUUUUCUUUUUAACAGGCCCAGCCCAUGA